rnacentral:rRNA from 1 species
ACAUGCCUACAAUAUAGCAUUAAUGCACCAGAUCCCAUUAGAAUUCCAUAUUUAAGCAUGCUCGGGCUAGAGUAGUACUGGGUUGGGUGACCGCCUGGGAAGUCCUAGUAUUUUACAUGCC